rnacentral:rRNA from 1 species
CCUACGGGUGGCAGCAGUGAGGAAUAUUGGUCAAUGGACGGGAGUCUGAACCAGCCAAGUAGCGUGAAGGAUGUCUGCCCUAUGGGUUGUAAACUUCUUUUAUAAAGGAAUAAAACGGUGCACGUUUGCCUUUUGACAUGUCCUUUAUGAAUAAGAAUCGGCUACCUCCGUGCCAGCGGCCGCGGUAAUCCGGAGGAUCCGAGGGUUAUCCGGAUUUAUUGGGUUUAAGGGGAGCUUAGAUGGGUGGUUAAGUCAGUUGUGAAAGCCUGCGGCUAAAGCGUUGAAUUGCAAUUGAUACUGGCAGGCUUGAGUACAGUUGAGGUAGGCGGAAUUCGUGGUGUAGCGGUGAAAUGCUUAGAUAUCACGAAGAACCCCGAUUGCGAAGGCAGCUUACUAAACUGUGACUGACAUUGAUGCACGAAAGUGUGGGUAUCAAACAGGAUUAGAUACCCUAGUAGUC